GAGUUCAUAAACGGAUUAAACACGCUGCAAAGGAUGUACAUCCAGUUGAUAGGACUGGGUGGACAUCUCAAGACACCUAGCAUCAAAAUUAGACGUGUACUCUGCCUGGCCAUCGCUAAUUCAUAUGAUGCAGAGCGGGAUGCCUUUAUCAUCAAUGGGAGACCAUGUAGGAUCACACUAGAAGAUGUAGCGCAUAUAACAGGCAUGCCCUGCCAUGGGAAGAAGCACGUCCCUUCAAAUCUUGAUGAUAAUAUGGAGUUGUGGAAGAAACUGAAAGACCGUAAUGACACCAAAAUAACUUUCAAAGGAUUGCUAGCCAAGAUGAAAGUCGACAUCACACCAAAUUUUGUCAGGCCAUUUGUCUUGUACACCAUAGGCAAAUAUGCAUGCCGAACAAAAGAGGAGUAUGUGGAUAACAAAUAUAUUGGGAUUGUUAGAAACGUUGAGACGAUAAAGGGCACAAAUCUUGGACAGCUAACGCUUGACUAUCUUAUGGAUAGCGUGAAGAAUUUUGUAAAUGGUGAGGCAAUUCUGGAGGGGAAUCUACCACUGCUGCAGGUA
rnacentral:rRNA from 1 species